UUCGAUUCGUCAAAAAUUGAAGAGCUAAGAGGGAAUUCGGUAACUAAUAAAUCAAGCCGAAGCUGCCCCCGCAACUGUAAUUGGUAAGUUUGGGUCAAAAAGCCACUGGGGUUUCCCCGGGAAGGCGACCUUAAUGCAAAAGCCAUAAGCCAGGAGACCUGCCUUGAAUGGAA
rnacentral:ncRNA from 1 species